rnacentral:rRNA from 1 species
UUUAUGGAGAGUUUGAUCCUGGCUCAGGAUGAACGCUGGCGGCGUGCCUAAUACAUGCAAGUCGAGCGAACGGACGAGAAGCUUGCUUCUCUGAUGUUAGCGGCGGACGGGUGAGUAACACGUGGAUAACCUACCUAUAAGACUGGGAUAACUUCGGGAAACCGGAGCUAAUACCGGAUAAUAUUUUGAACCGCAUGGUUCAAAAGUGAAAGACGGUCUUGCUGUCACUUAUAGAUGGAUCCACGCUGCAUUAGCUAGUUGGUAAGGUAACGGCUUACCAAGGCAACGAUGCAUAGCCGACCUGAGAGGGUGAUCGGCCACACUGGAACUGAGACACGGUCCAGACUCCUACGGGAGGCAGCAGUAGGGAAUCUUCCGCAAUGGGCGAAAGCCUGACGGAGCAACGCCGCGUGAGUGAUGAAGGUCUUCGGAUCGUAAAACUCUGUUAUUAGGGAAGAACAUAUGUGUAAGUAACUGUGCACAUCUUGACGGUACCUAAUCAGAAAGCCACGGCUAACUACGUGCCAGCAGCCGCGGUAAUACGUAGGUGGCAAGCGUUAUCCGGAAUUAUUGGGCGUAAAGCGCGCGUAGGCGGUUUUUUAAGUCUGAUGUGAAAGCCCACGGCUCAACCGUGGAGGGUCAUUGGAAACUGGAAAACUUGAGUGCAGAAGAGGAAAGUGGAAUUCCAUGUGUAGCGGUGAAAUGCGCAGAGAUAUGGAGGAACACCAGUGGCGAAGGCGACUUUCUGGUCUGUAACUGACGCUGAUGUGCGAAAGCGUGGGGAUCAAACAGGAUUAGAUACCCUGGUAGUCCACGCCGUAAACGAUGAGUGCUAAGUGUUAGGGGGUUUCCGCCCCUUAGUGCUGCAGCUAACGCAUUAAGCACUCCGCCUGGGGAGUACGACCGCAAGGUUGAAACUCAAAGGAAUUGACGGGGACCCGCACAAGCGGUGGAGCAUGUGGUUUAAUUCGAAGCAACGCGAAGAACCUUACCAAAUCUUGACAUCCUUUGACAACUCUAGAGAUAGAGCCUUCCCCUUCGGGGGACAAAGUGACAGGUGGUGCAUGGUUGUCGUCAGCUCGUGU